rnacentral:tRNA from 1 species
CCGCGAUUAGCUCAACGGGAAGAGCGUGUUAUAUGCAGGUACGGGGUUCGAGUCCUCGAUGGCGGUCCA